UCCGAUUUGUCACCGGCAGUCUCCUAUGAGUCCCCGUCUUUCACGCUGGCAACAUAGGACAGGGGUCGCGCUCGUUGCGGGACUUAACCCAACAUCUCACGACACGAGCCGACGACAGCCAUGCAGCACCUGUAUCCCGGUUCCCGAAGGCACCAAUCCAUCUCUGGAAAGUUCCGAGUAUGUCAAGGGCAGGUAAGGUUCUUCGCGUUGCAUCGAAUUAAACCACAUGCUCCACCGCUUGUGCGGGUCCCCGUCAAUUCCUUUGAGUUUUAGCCUUGCGGCCGUACUCCCCAGGCGGGGUGCUUAAUGCGUUAGCUUCGGCACGGACGGGGUCGAUAUCCGCCCACACCUAGCACCCAACGUUUACGGCUAGGACUAC
rnacentral:misc_RNA from 1 species